UGGCGAGCGGCGGACGGGUGAGUAAUGCAUAGGAAUCUGCCCGGUAGUGGGGGAUAACGUGGGGAAACCCACGCUAAUACCGCAUACGUCCUACGGGAGAAAGCGGAGGAUCUUCGGACUUCGCGCUAUCGGAUGAGCCUAUGUCGGAUUAGCUAGUUGGUAAGGUAAUGGCUUACCAAGGCGACGAUCCGUAGCUGGUCUGAGAGGAUGAUCAGCCACACUGGGACUGAGACACGGCCCAG
rnacentral:rRNA from 1 species